CAGUCGCCACGGUAAAACGGAGGGAGCUAGCGUUGUUCGGAAUCACUGGGCGUAAAGCGCACGUAGGCGGCUAUUCAAGUCUGGGGUGAAAGCCCGGGGCUCAACCCCGGAACUGCCUUUGAAACUAGAUAGCUUGAAUCUUGGAGAGGCGAGUGGAAUUCCGAGUGUAGAGGUGAAGUUCGUAGAUAUUCGGAAGAACACCAGUGGCGAAGGCGACUCGCUGGACAAGUAUUGACGCUGAGGUGCGAAAGCGUGGGGAGCAAACAGGAUUAGAGACCCCCGUAGUCCCUGUCUCUUAUAU
rnacentral:rRNA from 1 species